AGCCCACCCAACCCCUACCUCGCUCUCUCCCCACGAACCUCUCUGUCUCUCGCGACUCCUCUCUCCCCCACGAACCCCUGUCCCUCGCCGCCGCCACCACCCACGCCGGCCGGUUCCGGCGAGCUCCGGCGGCGCGCAACACGCCCCCGAGCUCCCCUAGGUCCGCUCCACCUUCCCCUCCGUCCAGAAUCGGCGCUCCCGUCCUCCACCGACCCCGUGGCUAGCUAGGGUUUCGACCGCCACCCCUAACAUCGCCGGGAUCAGCCAGAUCCGGCGACGGCGAGGCCAGAGCUCGACGGAUCCGUUACGGGCGUGGCGCAGGUCACCUUGGUGCGGUCUGGACGGCGGCGACGGCAGGAGGGCGCCAUCCUUCCUACUCGAGGAGGCGGAGGACGAGGGGCGCACCUAGCUGGCGGCCCUGUCCUGCUCGAGGAGGCAGGGGCUGCCGAGCUCAAGCACGGCCACGACGACCCACCUCGGCAGAGAUGCAGGGAGGGAGGGACAUCCAUGGAUUGGACUGGAAGGAUUGGAUGCAAACCAAUGCACAUGAGGAGGAGAGAUGCAAGCCAGGCCAUGACCUAAAGAUGUCCUUGGAUAAGAUGGCCAUUGGAGUGUAGGGGAGAAACAACCUUGUCCUGCUCGAGGAGGAGGAGGACCACCCGAGCUCGACGACGACACGGCAACAGGUAGCACUCGCCUCUCUCCCAAGGAUCUUCGGUUUGUUGUACUGACUGUAUGCCACCUCCAUCGUUGCAGCCUUGUCUCCCCCACCACCGCCCCUCGGCCUCCUAUAAUGUUGUUGUGGAUUCUUAGAAUGGAAAUGUUAUGUACAUAAAAAAUAUACUAUAUGGUCUGUGUUUGCAAAUCCAUGGCUGUUGAAUCAUGUCUGUAUAAGCAUUUGUAAAUAGCUAGCCUUGUUGGCUAAUCUUUUUUUUUUUGGUUU